rnacentral:rRNA from 1 species
CCUACGGGCGGCAGCAGUGGGGAAUAUUGCGCAAUGGGCGAAAGCCUGACGCAGCGACGCCGCGUGAGGGAUGAAGGUCUUCGGAUCGUAAACCUCUGUCAGCAGGGAAGAACGGUCAGGGGGAUAAUCAGCAGUGAAUGGACGGUACCUGCAAAGGAAGCACCGGCUAACUCCGUGCCAGCAGCCGCGGUAAUACGGAGGGUGCGCGCGUUAAUCGGAAGGACUGGGCGUAACGCGCUCGUCGGCGGUAUGUCAAGUCAAGGGUGAAAUCCCCGCGCUCAACGUGGGAACUGCCUUUGAAACUGGCAAACUGGAGUGUGUGAGAGGUUAGUGGAAUUCCCGGUGUAGGCGU